AGAAUAGUUGGGGCAAAACUUCUCAUCCCCUUAUUUAGUGAUGGACUAACACAUCAAUUAAGUAUUGUACCCAAAGUUUGUUCUAUAAAUUUGUACCUAUUUCAUUGGGUAUUGAUAAUUUUAUCUUUUGUUUAACACGUGUAUAUGUCUUUUUAACCUAAAAAUAUGAUGUGUGUGUCCAAGAACCUCAUAGUUUUUUCUCCCCUGAAAUCUCUCUUCUUCCAGAUAUGUUGCAUGGACGAAAUUCCUAUGUUGAAUCCUUUUCUUCAUUUACAAUGCACAAGACGGUAGAUUCAUCUCAAUUUUGUAUUGAUAGGUCGUAUUAUUAAAGGGCACAACAAAAAAUUUCUUUGUCCAUAUACCAGCAAAGACCUCAAAAAUUCAAUUGGGUAUGAUGUAGGUUUCUUCGUCUUUCAUCUAUAUCAUUUUGCGAAGUACCAAAAUUGUCAUUUGUAAACCCUAAAUGUUAGACUAAAUAAAAUGGGGUUUUUUUUUCCAGUAAUGACAUCAUUGGCAUGGCAAAUUGUGGAAAGUCUAUGACUGAAAAAAAUUAAAGUUAUGUGCUUCAUUUUUUUUAUAUUGAGGAAUUAAGUAAUCUAAGUUGUAUUUUGUUUGGCCCCAUUUCACUAAACAACUUGCUAAUUGCAAAUAUUCUUAAGGAUUCAUUCAGUAAAUAAUACAGUGUUCUGUUUACUACUUACAAGAAACAAACGUAUGGCCACCUCUGUUCAUCAUUCAUUGUCAUUUACGAGCAACUUCAAAACUCUUUGACAAACUACUUCCAACGAAGUUAAGAAGUCAAGUGGAAGGCCUGAGCCCUACAAGUUCAAGGUAAUAAUUUGUUAAAAUAGGACUUAUUCUCUGUGGCUGCAACUGUCUACCUAAGGGAGUCUUACUUUGCGCUUCUCUCUAUAUUUCAAGGUGAAGAGUUUCUCUGAACUUGUUGCGGGGGCAGUAUAAUUACAUUAAGUUAUUUCACUCACUUCAUUGUUAGGAAUUAAUGCAUGCUUCAGCUUUAGCCAUCUUACAAUAGAAAGAGAUUUACGUGUAUAUGAUCUUUCUUCAAACAGUUAAGACUUCAUUUGCACUGUUAAUUUAAGUUGUUAAUCAAAUGGUGUUCUACAAUACCAAGUGUCUAACUUAAAUAUGUUUUUCCUUUCUUUUCUCUCUUUUGACUAAAAUUUUUAGAAGAUGUGUUGAUUAGGAAGGAAAAUAAUAAAAAGAAGGGGAUAAAGGUCUUUUUCUCACUAUUGAAAGUUUUCCAAAUGCUUCUAAAGACUUUUUCACGUUCAAUGGGGAUAAAAAAAGCUAUGAAUUGAAGUUACUUGACGUUAUUGUUGGUGACUCUAUUGUUAGGUGAGGGAUAAAAUUUCGCUCCUUAAGAAAUACUAUUAGGAUUUUUUUAGAGACAUUGUAGUACUUUGUUUAAUCAGUCAUCCUUACAACUUCUCCUUUGGUGCAUUUAUAAAAUACUCUUGAUUCUAUAUUCUAGCAAGUAAUAUUAUUCCUCUAUUUUUAUAUGUUAUUAGAAAAUGUUGAAACAUUGAUUUAGAUUUCGAGCACCAAGUUUUCAAAUCUUACUACUCUCCAUUCCAAUUGAUCUUGGAGUUGCACUUCAUAUGUGGAAGUAGCAUUUGAGAAUACAUCAACACAACUCCAAAAAAUGAAGAAGAUAUCAUCGAAUGUAAAAAGGUCCUUGAUAAUUCAGGUAAAUAUUUUAAUAAGUGAUUCACACAUUACUCUUCAGCUGCUUAUCUUUCAAUGUUGUAAAGAUAACUUAUUAGAGGAAGGGUCGGGGAAGAAGAGCACACCAGAUGGCUAUAACUCUUUUUUGCGUCUUCUUGCGGAUCCAACGCUAUUGUGGUACUAUGUCCCUGUUCAACUUCUAUUUAUUUUUUCCAAUAUGGCUACUACACCAAAUAUAUGAAUGUUGAGUGGUUAAAUACAAGAAUUUCUACCGGAUAACCAACUAAGUUUGGUUCCUGGAAGCAGUUUGAUUUGGUUUUGAGAACAAGGGAAUACAUCAUCUAGGAUUUGUAAGUGUAUCUCAUUUUUUGAGGAAUUUCUUUCACCAUUGUGUUAAUAAAAGUCAAAUUAAUGGGGAAAGGGAGGAGCUUCUAAAUUUGCCUACUUACAUUUUAACUUCAACAUUUAAACAUGUUAUGUAUUUUGAUUAUUUGCUGCAAGCCACGAAAUUUGUGAGA